GCAGGAUAUUGACUGUACAAAGGUAGCAUAAUAAUUAGUCUUUUAAUUGAAGACUGGAAUGAAAGGUCCAACAAGCUUUAACUGUCUCUGAAGUAUUUUAUUAAMUUAUUUUUUUUGUAAAAAAACAAAGAUGAAUUAAAGGCACAAGAAGACCCUAUCAAACUUAUUUUAUUUUGUAUAUAAUUUAAGUAAAUAASAGUAAUAUGCUAGUUAAAAUUUACUGGGGCGGUGAGUAUAAAACCUUAUUUAGGUACAAUAUUUUUAAUGGCUUAAUAUAAGGAUCCAAAGAUUGAUUGAUAAUAAAAAAAAGUUACUGUAGGGAUAACAGCGUAAUAUCUUUUGAGAGUUCAUAUUGACAAAAAUGUUUGCCACCUCGAUGUUGGAUUAGGAAAUCUUAUUGACGCAAGAGUCAAUUUUAAAGAUAGUCUGUUCGACUAUUAAAUUCUU
rnacentral:rRNA from 1 species